GUGCUCACUUCGGCAGCACAUAUACAAAAAUUGGAACAAUACAGAGAAGAUUAGCACGGCCCCUGAGCAAGGAUGACAUGCGAAUUCAUGAAGCAUUCCACAUUUGG
rnacentral:snRNA from 1 species